rnacentral:misc_RNA from 1 species
AAGUCGUAACAAGGUUUCCGUAGGUGAACCUGCGGAAGGAUCAUUAACGUAUCUCUGACGGGGGGCUGGUGGCCCUGCUCCGGUUCCGACCGUGCAGCGGGCCCCGUUCCCUGGACACACUACAAACCCACCUGUGCACCUUUCGCGGUUGGGAGGACGUGGCGCGAGCCCGUCCGAACCCGCGCUCACAAACGCUAGUCUUAAGAAUGUCGAGCGGACUCUGUUCCGACCACAAAUGUAACAACUUUCAACAACGGAUCUCUUGGCUCUC